UACGUAGGGUGCAAGCGUUGUCCGGAAUUAUUGGGCGUAAAGAGCUCGUAGGCGGUCUGUUGCGUCGGCUGUGAAAAACCCGGGGGCUCAACCCCCGGGCCUGCAGCCGAUACGGGCAGACUAGAGUUCGGCAGGGGGAGACUGGAAUUCCUGGUGUAGCGGUGAAAAUGCGCAGAUAUCAGGAGGAACACCGGUGGCGAAGGCGGGUCUCUGGGCCGAUACUGACGCUGAGGAGCGAAAGCGUGGGAGCGAACAGG
rnacentral:rRNA from 1 species